AUGGUCAGGCCGACGCAGCUGUCGAGGCGCUACCACAGCGCGCGCAGCUUCCCCGACGGCGUGCGGAACUGCUACACGCUCCGGUCCCUCGUGCCCGGGGGCAAGUACCUCCUCCGUGCCUCGUUCAUGUACGGCGACUACGACGGCCUCGGCAGUCUACCCAUUUUUGAUCUGCACGUCGGUGUCAACUAUUGGCAGACCGUAAACAUCUCAAAGCCAGAUCUCGAGGUGACCGCGGAGGCCGUCGUGUUUGUGCCCGAUGAGUUUGUUCAUGUGUGCUUGUUGAACACCGACGCCGGGACGCCCUUCAUCUCGGACCUGGAGUUGAGGCCGCUGAAGAAGAAGUUCUACCCGCAGGCAAAUUUGACGCAGGGUCUCGUUCUGGAACACAGGCUGAACCUCGCUCCCCCGGACACCAACAUCGUCAGGUACCCCUGUAGAUCCACACGACCGUGUAUGGCUCCCUAA
rnacentral:rRNA from 1 species